rnacentral:misc_RNA from 1 species
GAUGAAGAACGCAGCGAAAUGCGAUAAGUAAUGUGUAUUGCAGAAUUCAGUGAAUCAUCGAAUCUUUGAACGCACCUUGCGCCCUUUGGCCAUUCCGAAGGGCAUGCCUGUUUGAGUAUCAUGAACACCUCAACUCUCAUGGCUCGCCAUGAUGAGCUUGGAUUUGGGGGUCUUGCUGGCCUGUGGUCGGCUCCUCUCAAAUGGAUCAGCUUGCCAGUGUUUGGUGGCAUCACAGGUGUGAUAACUAUCUGCGCUUGUGGUUUUCCAUCAGAUAACCUUCAGUGAUGGAGGUUCGCUGGAGCUCAUAAACGUCUCCCCUAAGCGGGGACAGCCCUUUGAAUGUUUGAUCUCAAAUCAGGUAGGACUACCCGCUGAACUUAAGCAUAUCAAUAAGCGGAGGA